AACGAACGCUGUCGGCAUGCCUAACACAUGCAAGUCGAACGAGAUCUUCGGGUCUAGUGGCGCACGGGUGCGUAACGCGUGGCAAUCUGCCCUUUGGUUCGGAAUAACAGUUGGAAACGACUGCUAAUACCGGAUGAUGACGAAAGUCCAAAGAUUUAUCGCCAGAGGAUGAGCCCGCGUAGGAUUAGCUAGUUGGUGUGGUAAAGGCGCACCAAGGCGACGAUCCUUGGCUGGUUUGAGAGGAUGAUCAGCCCAACGGGGACUGAGACACGGCCCAGACUCUAAGGGAGGCAGCAGUGGGGAAUAUUGGACAAUGGGCGAAAGCCUGAUCCAGCAAUGCCGCGUGAGUGAUGAAGGCCUUAGGGUUGUAAAGCUCUUUUACCCGGGAUGAUAAUGACAGUACCGGGAGAAUAAGCUCCGGCUAACUCCGUGCCAGCCGCCGCCGUAA
rnacentral:rRNA from 1 species